GUGGAUUUAAUUUAAACAAAAUAUUAGAUUGUGAUUCUAAAUAUAGAAGUUAAACCCUUCUUAUUCACC
rnacentral:tRNA from 1 species